GCCAUCCCAUCAUCAGCCUUCCCAGCAGUUUUCAUCAUUCCAAAAUUUCCCAGAGAUGUUCAGACAAAGUUGGACCAAAAACCGCCAUGUAAAAUUGAGAGAUCCGAUCACAACAAAAUCAUAAGAACAUUGUAUGAAACCAUGGCCCUGAUCAAAAUGUUUCCGACCAAUGAUGACUAUGUGAAAGUGUGUAAGGCCCUGAUUUUGAAAUACCCUUUCUUAAAAGACAAAGAAGGCAAUGGUUAUCAUACCUGGCACAUGUCUCUCAAACGUAAGUUCAAAUAUGA